rnacentral:lncRNA from 1 species
GUGUUUUGGUGAUGGUGAUGUGUUUGUACAUCUUACUUUACUGAACAUUCUUGCUGCUUACAAUUAUCUCUAUUUAUAGUGAACUUGGCCCAGAAGUUUCAGUGGAAAAUGUUAGUAAAAAUCUACAAAUUUUAUGAAAAUUGUUAAAAAUUGACUAUAAAGGACAAUAACUCCUUAGGGGGUCAAUUGACCAUUUCGGUCAUGU